rnacentral:rRNA from 1 species
AGUGAACGCUGGCGGUAGGCCUAACACAUGCAAGUCGAACGGCAGCACAGUAAGAGCUUGCUCUUACGGGUGGCGAGUGGCGGACGGGUGAGGAAUACAUCGGAAUCUACUUUUUCGUGGGGGAUAACGUAGGGAAACUUACGCUAAUACCGCAUACGACCUACGGGUGAAAGCAGGGGAUCUUCGGACCUUGCGCGAGUGAAUGAGCCGAUGUCGGAUUCGCUAGUUGGCGGGGUAAAGGCCCACCAAGGCGACGAUCCGUAGCUGGUCUGAGAGGAUGAUCAGCCACACUGGCACUGAGACACGGUCCAGACUCCUACGGGAGGCAGCAGUCGGGAAUAUUGGACAAUGGGCGAAAGCCUGAUCCAGCCAUACCGCGUGGGUGCAGAAGGACUUCGGGUUGUAAAGCCCUUUUGUUGGGAAAGAAAAGCAGCAGGUUAAUCCCCCGCUGUUCUGACGGUACCCAAAGAAUAAGCACCGGCUAACUUCGUG